rnacentral:rRNA from 1 species
CAGCCGCCGCGGUAAUACCGGCGGCCCGAGUGGUGGCCGCUAUUAUUGGGCCUAAAGCGUCCGUAGCCGGGCCCGUAAGUCCCUGGCGAAAUCCCACGGCUCAACCGUGGGGCUUGCUGGGGAUACUGCGGGCCUAGGGACCGGGAGAGGCCGAGGGUAUUCCCGGAGUAGGGGUGAAAUCCUAUAAUCCCGGGAGGACCACCUGUGGCGAAGGCGCUCGGCUGGAACGGGUCCGACGGUGAGGGACGAAGGCCAGGGGAGCAAACCGGAUUAGAUACCCGGGUAGUCCUGGCUGUAAACGAUGCGGACUUUGUGUCGGACAAGCUAUGAGCUUGUCCGGUGCCGGAGGGAAACCGUUAAGUCCGCCGCCUGGGGAGUACGGCCGCAAGGCUGAAACUUAAAGGAAUUGGCGGG